AGAGUUUGAUCCUGGCUCAGGACGAACGCUGGCGGCGUGCCUAAUACAUGCAAGUAGAACGCUGAAGAGAGGAGCUUGCUCUUCUUGGAUGAGUUGCGAACGGGUGAGUAACGCGUAGGUAACCUGCCUUGUAGCGGGGGAUAACUAUUGGAAACGAUAGCUAAUACCGCAUAACAAUGGAUGACACAUGUCAUUUAUUUGAAAGGGGCAAUUGCUCCACUACAAGAUGGACCUGCGUUGUAUUAGCUAGUAGGUGAGGUAACGGCUCACCUAGGCGACGAUACAUAGCCGACCUGAGAGGGUGAUCGGCCACACUGGGACUGAGACACGGCCCAGACUCCUACGGGAGGCAGCAGUAGGGAAUCUUCGGCAAUGGGGGCAACCCUGACCGAGCAACGCCGCGUGAGUGAAGAAGGUUUUCGGAUCGUAAAGCUCUGUUGUAAGUCAAGAACGAGUGUGAGAGUGGAAAAUUCACACUGUGACGGUAGCUUACCAGAAAGGGACGGCUAACUACGUGCCAGCAGCCGCGGUAAUACGUAGGUCCCGAGCGUUGUCCGGAUUUAUUGGGCGUAAAGCGAGCGCAGGCGGUUUGAUAAGUCUGAAGUUAAAGGCUGUGGCUCAACCAUAGCUCGCUUUGGAAACUGUCAAACUUGAGUGCAGAAGGGGAGAGUGGAAUUCCAUGUGUAGCGGUGAAAUGCGUAGAUAUAUGGAGGAACACCGGUGGCGAAAGCGGCUCUCUGGUCUGUAACUGACGCUGAGGCUCGAAAGCGUGGGGAGCGAACAGGAUUAGAUACCCUGGUAGUCCACACCGUAAACGAUGAUUACUAGGUGUUGGAGGAUUGACCCCUUCAGUGCCGCAGUUAACACAAUAAGUAAUCCACCUGGGGAGUACGACCGCAAGGUUGAAACUCAAAGGAAUUGACGGGGGCCCGCACAAGCAGUGGAGUAUGUGGUUUAAUUCGACGCAACGCGAAGAACCUUACCAAGUCUUGACAUCCCUUGACAGGCAUAGAAAUAUGUUUUCUCUUCGGAGCAAGGAGACAGGUGGUGCAUGGUUGUCGUCAGCUCGUGUCGUGAGAUGUUGGGUUAAGUCCCGCAACGAGCGCAACCCUUAUUGCCAGUUACUACGUUAAGAGGACUCUGGCGAGACUGCCGUUGACAAAACGGAGGAAGGUGGGGAUGACGUCAAAUCAUCAUGCCCUUUAUGACCUGGGCUACACACGUACUACAAUGGCGUUAAACAAAGAGAAGCAAGACCGCGAGGUGGAGCAAAACUCAAAAACAACGUCUCAGUUCAGAUUGCAGUCUGCAACUCGACUGCACGAAGCUGGAAUCGCUAGUAAUCGCGAAUCAGAAUGUCGCGGUGAAUACGUUCCCGGGUCUUGUACACACCGCCCGUCA
rnacentral:rRNA from 1 species